UUUCCUUUCAACAAAAAUCAA
rnacentral:piRNA from 1 species